rnacentral:rRNA from 1 species
CCUACGGGUGGCAGCAGUGGGGAAUAUUGGACAAUGGGCGAAAGCCUGAUCCAGCCAUGCCGCGUGUGUGAAGAAGGCCUUCGGGUUGUAAGGCACUUUCAGUGGGGAAGAAAGCCUUGGGGCUAAUACCCUCGAGGAAGGACAUCACCCACAGAAGAAGCACCGGCUAACUCCGUGCCAGCAGCCGCGGUAAUACGGAGGGUGCGAGCGUUAAUCGGAAUUACUGGGCGUAAAGCGCGCGUAGGCGGUCUGAUAAGCCGGUUGUGAAAGCCCCGGGCUCAACCUGGGAACGGCAUCCGGAACUGUCAGGCUAGAGUGCAGGAGAGGAAGGUAGAAUUCCCGGUGUAGCGGUGAAAUGCGUAGAGAUCGGGAGGAAUACCAGUGGCGAAGGCGGCCUUCUGGACUGACACUGACGCUGAGGUGCGAAAGCGUGGGUAGCAAACAGGAUUAGAUACCCCGGUAGUC